rnacentral:rRNA from 1 species
GCCUCAGCAUUUAGCCCCUUGCCAAUCAUAUCACAUCCUCAAAAUGGCUCUCAUCUGGUCCUGAAAGCUAAGCAAGGCUGGACUUGGCUCAUACUUGGAUGGGUAAUCAUCUAGGAAUUUCAGGUGCUUUAGGCU